GCCCAGCCGUAAACUUUUAUUUCACAUUGAAUCGCCAGGGAACUACGAGCUAAGCUUAAAACCCAAAGGACUUGACGGUACCCCAUAUCCCCCUAGAGGAGCCUGUCCUAUAAUCGAUAAUCCGCGUUAAACCUCACCAUUUUUAGUUACUCAGCCUGUAUACCUCCGUCGUCAGCUUACCACGUGAGCGCCAAUUAGUGAGCUUAAUGUUUAUUCACCAACACGUCAGGUCAAGGUGCAGCAAAUGAAGUGGAAAGAGAUGGGCUACACUUUCUAAAUUAGAAGAAACGAAAAACUAUCUAUGAAACCUAGUUAGAAGGCGGAUUUAGCAGUAAAAAGGAAUCAGCACGUCCAUUUUAACCCGGCACUGGGGUGUGUACACACCGCC
rnacentral:rRNA from 1 species